rnacentral:rRNA from 1 species
AAUAGAUACCCGGGUAGUCCAUGCCGUAAACGUUGGGCACUAGGUGUGGGGCUCAUUCCACGAGUUCCGUGCCGCAGCAAACGCAUUAAGUGCCCCGCCUGGGGAGUACGGCCGCAAGGCUAAAACUCAAAGAAAUUGACGGGGGCCCGCACAAGCGGUGGAGCAUGCGGAUUAAUUCGAUGCAACGCGAAGAACCUUACCAAGGCUUGACAUACACCGGAAAAGUGCAGAGAUGUGCUCCCCUUUUGGUCGGUGUACAGGUGGUGCAUGGUUGUCGUCAGCUCGUGUCGUGAGAUGUUGGGUUAAGUCCCGCAACGAGCGCAACCCUCGUCCCAUGUUGCCAGCGGGUUAUGCCGGGGACUCAUGGGAGACUGCCGGGGUCAACUCGGAGGAAGGUGGGGAUGACGUCAAAUCAUCAUGCCCCUUAUGUCUUGGGCUUCACGCAUGCUACAAUGGCCGGUACAAAGGGCUGCGAUACCGCAAGGUGGAGCGAAUCCCAAAAAGCCGGUCUCAGUUCGGAUUGGGGUCUGCAACUCGACCCC